AGUGAACGCUGGCGGUAGGCCUAACACAUGCAAGUCGAACGGCAGCACAGUAAGAGCUUGCUCUUACGGGUGGCGAGUGGCGGACGGGUGAGGAAUACAUCGGAAUCUACUUUUUCGUGGGGGAUAACGUAGGGAAACUUACGCUAAUACCGCAUACGACCUACGGGUGAAAGCAGGGGAUCUUCUGACCUUGCGCGAUUGAAUGAGCCGAUGUCGGAUUAGCUAGUUGGCGGGGUAAAGGCCCACCAAGGCGACGAUCCGUAGCUGGUCUGAGAGGAUGAUCAGCCACACUGGAACUGAGACACGGUCCAGACUCCUACGGGAGGAAGCAGUGGGGAAUAUUGGACAAUGGGCGAAAGCCUGAUCCAGCCAUACCGCGUGGGUGAAGAAGGCCUUCGGGUUGUAAAGCCCUUUUGUUGGGAAAGAAAAGCAGCAGGUUAAUACCCCGCUGUUCUGACGGUACCCAAAGAAUAAGCACCGGCUAACUUCGUG
rnacentral:rRNA from 1 species